rnacentral:tRNA from 1 species
GCGCGUGUAGCUCAGUGGUAGAGCGCGUCACUGAUAAUGACGAGGUCCAUGGUUCAAUCCCAUGCACGCGCA